UGCCUACAACAUAGGGUUAAUUUAACAUAUCCCAUUAGAAAUCCGCAGCUAAGCGCGCUCGGGAUAGAGUAGUACUGGGAUGGGUGACCACUCGAGAAUUCCUAUUAUUUUAGAUGC
rnacentral:rRNA from 1 species